rnacentral:rRNA from 1 species
GAUGAACGCUGGCGGCGUGCCUAAUACAUGCAAGUCGAGCGAACGGACGAGAAGCUUGCUUCUCUGAUGUUAGCGGCGGACGGGUGAGUAACACGUGGAUAACCUACCUAUAAGACUGGGAUAACUUCGGGAAACCGGAGCUAAUACCGGAUAAUAUUUUGAACCGCAUGGUUCAAAAGUGAAAGACGGCCUUGCUGUCACUUAUAGAUGGAUCCGCGCUGCAUUAGCUAGUUGGUAAGGUAACGGCUUACCAAGGCAACGAUGCAUAGCCGACCUGAGAGGGUGAUCGGCCACACUGGAACUGAGACACGGUCCAGACUCCUACGGGAGGCAGCAGUAGGGAAUCUUCCGCAAUGGGCGAAAGCCUGACGGAGCAACGCCGCGUGAGUGAUGAAGGUCUUCGGAUCGUAAAACUCUGUUAUUAGGGAAGAACAUAUGUGUAAGUAACUGUGCACAUCUUGACGGUACCUAAUCAGAAAGCCACGGCUAACUACGUGCCAGCAGCCGCGGUAAUACGUAGGUGGCAAGCGUUAUCCGGAAUUAUUGGGCGUAAAGCGCGCGUAGGCGGUUUUUUAAGUCUGAUGUGAAAGCCCACGGCUCAACCGUGGAGGGUCAUUGGAAACUGGAAAACUUGAGUGCAGAAGAGGAAAGUGGAAUUCCAUGUGUAGCGGUGAAAUGCGCAGAGAUAUGGAGGAACACCAGUGGCGAAGGCGACUUUCUGGUCUGUAACUGACGCUGAUGUGCGAAAGCGUGGGGAUCAAACAGGAUUAGAUACCCUGGUAGUCCACGCCGUAAACGAUGAGUGCUAAGUGUUAGGGGGUUUCCGCCCCUUAGUGCUGCAGCUAACGCAUUAAGCACUCCGCCUGGGGAGUACGACCGCAAGGUUGAAACUCAAAGGAAUUGACGGGGACCCGCACAAGCGGUGGAGCAUGUGGUUUAAUUCGAAGCAACGCGAAGAACCUUACCAAAUCUUGACAUCCUUUGACAACUCUAGAGAUAGAGCCUUCCCCUUCGGGGGACAAAGUGACAGGUGGUGCAUGGUUGUCGUCAGCUCGUGUCAUGAGAUGUUGGGUUAAGUCCCGCAACGAGCGCAACCCUUAAGCUUAGUUGCCAUCAUUAAGUUGGGCACUCUAAGUUGACUGCCGGUGACAAACCGGAGGAAGGUGGGGAUGACGUCAAAUCAUCAUGCCCCUUAUGAUUUGGGCUACACACGUGCUACAAUGGACAAUACAAAGGGCAGCGAAACCGCGAGGUCAAGCAAAUCCCAUAAAGUUGUUCUCAGUUCGGAUUGUAGUCUGCAACUCGACUACAUGAAGCUGGAAUCGCUAGUAAUCGUAGAUCAGCAUGCUACGGUGAAUACGUUCCCGGGUCU